ensembl:miRNA MIR3690 microRNA 3690
CCCAUCUCCACCUGGACCCAGCGUAGACAAAGAGGUGUUUCUACUCCAUAUCUACCUGGACCCAGUGUAGAUGGG